UACGGGGGGGGCAAGCGUUGUUCGGAAUUACUGGGCGUAAAGGGCUCGUAGGCGGCCAACUAAGUCCGGACGUGAAAUCCCCCAGGCUUAACUGGGAACUGCGUCCGGAUACUGGAUGGCUUGAAUCCGGGAGAGGGAUGCGGAAUUCCAGGUGUAGCGGUGAAAUGCGUAGAUAUCAGGAGAACACCGGUGGCGAAGGCGGCUCCUGCGGGAUGGUGA
rnacentral:rRNA from 1 species